rnacentral:rRNA from 1 species
UACAGGGGGGGCAAGCGUUGUUCGGAUUUACUGGGCGUAAAGGGCGCGUAGGCGGCGCGGUAAGUCACUUGUGAAAUCUCUGGGCUUAACUCAGAACGGCCAAGUGAUACUGCAGUGCUAGAGUGCGGAAAGGGCAAUCGGAAUUCUUGGUGUAGCGGUGAAAUGCGUAGAUAUCAAGAGGAACACCUGAGGCGAAGGCGGGUUGCUAGGCUGACACUGACGCUGAGGCGCGAAAGCCAGGGGAGCAAACGGG